rnacentral:lncRNA from 1 species
GAUCUCAAGCAUCUCCUCUUCUUCUCUCUUGAAGAGUUCUUCAUCCCUCUCUCCUAUAUUGCUUGGCGUACAUGCGAAGUAGAGGAUCUGCGCAUCCAGAUCUUGCGAAGUAAAUUGAUUGAGAAACUUCUUCAACCUUGAUCUUUUUUUCACUACAAAUCAAGGUGAGAUUUCAUAAACAUUAUGAAAAUUUUAAUUGCUAAUAUAUUCAACUUUUCUCCUAACAUCCAAUG